GUGAAAAAGAGCGACCAAUACUGAUGGCUUUCUCACUUCUACAUUUCAUUUUCAUAUCAACAAGCACUAAAAUUACUAGAUACAAACUUUAAAUGAAGUUUUAAACUACACGAAUAUUAUAGAAAAACAAACUUUUGUACCCAAAAAAUGAAAAGCAAGCAUAAUACCCUUAUAUCACAAAAAAAUCACUUAAAACAGUGACAAUAGAAUCACUGCCUUAAGUGAUUAUAAGGGACCAAUACUGAUGGCUUUCUCACUACUUAUUGCAUUUCAUGUCAAACAAGCACUAAAAUUACUAACAUAUCUAAAAAACUAAACUACACAUUGCACAUAAGGAGCGAUAACAGAUACAAACUUUAAAUGAAGUUUUAAACAGCCUAUCAACAUGUUUAAGAAGAAAAUUAAUGCAUCCACGAAAUUUAUAGAAAAACAAACUUUUGUACCCAUAAAAUGACAAACAAGCAUAAUACUCCUUAUAUCACAAAAAAAUCACUUAAAACAGUGACAAUAGAUCACUGUGUCAAGUGAUUAAUAGAACUCAAUACUGAUGACUUUUUCACUACUUAUUGCAUUUCUGUCAAACAAGCACUAAAAUUACUAACAUAUCUAAAAAAACAAAACUACACAUUGCUACUAAGGAACGAUAACAGAA
rnacentral:lncRNA from 1 species